rnacentral:lncRNA from 10 species
GAGGGAUUUGCCAGGACAAUAUAUUUGGGGAACUCCAGUUACACGAGGGUGACCUCACUCUUUCCUUUCUCAAAAUUGCCUCCCAACGUCCCCGGGCCUGGCGAGAAGCCAGGCAGGACGCCACGACGCGUCGUGUCUGAGAGAAAACCGUCUCCCCUCCACUCAGGCUUCAGCCCCGACCCCACGCUAACUGGGCCAGGGCAGGGGCUGGGCUGGGAGGGGACCCAGUGAGCUCAGGGCUGGAGGAAACGGUCCCUGCUUUGAAGUGGCUCCGGCACCGGCCUCUCCCACCACCCUGUCAUGAGAAGCAAAGAACAUGGAAAGCAGAAUUCCUGGGGGUGGCCUCAACCCCAAGCCCUGCCGAUGCAAACCGGCACCUUGAAGAUGCCUUUGGAAUUUAACUGGAAGAUUUGAAUGACAUGGGCAGACACAGAAGAGGGAGAAGCAUUCCACAGGGGAGGAAAGGCCUCAGUGGGGACCUAUGGAGCUCCCAGGCCCACCGCAGGGAGGCAGGUCCUCGGUCAUCUGCGGAGGGAGAACACUUUCAGUCGAAGGAGCCUGGGACCCUUGACACAGAAGUGACAUGUGCAUUCGGAACCUCUCUGUGGAAAACACAGACCCUUCAUGACACGCAAACUCGAAGCCGAUGCAAUAACCACCUUCGGAGACCAGACCCCUCAAAGAGCACUCAGCCCACAAUGUGACGCAGAGAAACCAGAGACCCAGGCAGGGAGUGCACCCACGGGGACACUCCGAGGGUGGCCUCCUGCCUGCCCUGAUUACUUAAAAAGGAGAUUCUUGGAAACCUUUGCGGGCCCACAGGUGCACCCUGACUCCCAGGGAUGGGGGCUGAGCCACCCAGGAAACAAAUAUGAAAUCAAAGAUCCAGACAGCCCUGACCCUCCUGAUUCCAGGGUCCAUAAAUAAGUCAUUCUUAAAAUAGUGGUUGUUUUCUCUCUAUUUAAGAAGUGCUUCUUUUUUGAGUCCUUGUUCCCAACUUCCCUGGCAACUCAGUUUCCUGUUUCCUCCGGGAGGAAGGCAGAACUGCAGGAGAGGUCAGUGUGUGGCAGGGCUG